rnacentral:tRNA from 1 species
GCCUGGGUGGCUCAGUUGGUUAAGCGGCUGACUUCAACUCAGGUCAUGAUCUCAGUCUGUGAGUUCGAGCCUUGUGUCAGGCU